rnacentral:rRNA from 1 species
GACGAACCGUGCGAGCGUUAUUCGGAAUCACUGGGCUUAAAGCGCGUGUAGGCGGUCCGCCACGUCGGCUGCUGAAAUCCCCCGGCUUAACCGGGGAACGGGCGUCGAUACGACCGUCCUGGAGGGGCGUAGGGGGACCUGGAACUUCCGGUGGAGCGGUGAAAUGCGUUGAGAUCGGAAGGAACGCCCGUGGCGAAAGCGAGGUCCUGGACGCCUACUGACGCUGAGACGCGAAAGCCAGGGGAGCGAACGGG